CCUCAAUAUUUCAGCCAAUUUUUCGCAGAAUACUUGCUUGAUAUGCUUAGCUAAACUUCUUGUUCUUUUAAAUGCAGGAUUUCUUUGAAUUGAAGGGAUAGCGCGCGCACAAGGGAGCUGCAUGAACCACUAUAGAAUUAUGAAUAAACCAUAAAAGUUGAUAUCAUUAUGUAUGAAACAAUAUUUUAAAAGUAUUAUGUAUCUGCAAGCAAGAUACAUUAGGAAAUUAAGGAACGGACAGACUUCUUUGUUGACGAUAUGCUGUAUUCUUUAAUAAGCCUUCAUUUAGAAAUUAAAACAUGUCUAGAGUAUGAUGACAAUAAAUUAGAAGCACGCUGUGACAGAACCUGGUUCCUCACUUCUGUUAUACAAGAAGUACAAAAUAUAGCAUAUUCUUGGCCUCGCUGAAUACACUCCCAACAAAAAAGUGGAAACUGAAUCCAGAUUAAGGCUCAGUUAGUUUUUCUUUUACUUCCCUAACAGUCUGAAUCAAUCACAAUCUUGAAAUGUGGAGAACUAUCAGCAUUGCAUGAUGAUUGUGUUUUAAUCGGGCAAGAAAUUCAGGCAACAAACUCUUGCCUCAAAUAAUAUUAGUAAUUACACCCAAAUAAGAAAACCACACUCAUUAGUAUCAAUGGUUUUUAAAAGAAAUGGUGAAGAUAUUCCAUACUCUGAUCAUUCUCUUGCUAGUUUUAGCAGCACCAGCAAUGGCCAAGCCUUCUUGCAACAUAGUUUCAAAAGGGCUAGAACCAUGUUAUUCAUACAUUAAAGGGAAAUAUCAUUCCAUGAAGCCAUCAAAU
rnacentral:lncRNA from 1 species